rnacentral:rRNA from 1 species
UACGUAGGGUGCGAGCGUUGUCCGGAAUUACUGGGCGUAAAGAGCUCGUAGGUGGUUUGUCGCGUUGUUCGUGAAAACUCACAGCUCAACUGUGGGCGUGCGGGCGAUACGGGCAGACUUGAGUACUGCAGGGGGAGACUGGAAUUCCUGGUGUAGCGGUGGAAUGCGCAGAUAUCAGGAGGAACACCGGUGGCGAAGGCGGGUCUCUGGGCAGUAACUGACGCUGGAGGAGCGAAAGCCGUGGG